GUGUAGUAUACAAUUUCAUUUUGGUAAUUAUAUCACUCUAUAUCGUUGAGACGAUGCUGUUGAUCGAUAUUAUAAUGUCGAGAAGCUAAAAUAAGUCAUUAGAAAUGAUACUUUGCCUUGACUUUAAUAGUUGAGGCAUCAUAUAACCUAAAAACGAGGAAUAUAAAGUGAUAGUAACUGCAUAAUAGUCAGUACCUGAAUCUUACUGCUCUGAAGGUGUGAGUGGUGAAGAUACCUUACAUGAUAGUCAACCCAAGUACAAAGAUAAAG